UCUAUGGAGAGUUUGAUCCUGGCUCAGGACGAACGCUGGCGGCGUGCUUAACACAUGCAAGUCGAGCGAGGCUC
rnacentral:rRNA from 1 species